UCUUCAGAACAUAAUUGCUUUCUCUAGUGAAUUCCCCCACAUGACCAGGCCAAAAUAAGCGAGACAUCAUUUUUUGUUUUUGCCUUCCAGUGACAUGUCUGGUGUUAUGAACUCCAGUGCUUGCUUGUUGGUCACUUUUGCUGCCCAAGGAAUACACAGGUACCUUCUCCAGCAUCAUGGCUCAAAGGAGUCUAUUUUCUUCCCGUCUUUCUUUUUGAAGGUCCAACUUUCACAACCAUAGGUAGCUACGGGGAACACGAUAGAGCUGACUAACCUACAUUUGGCCAAAAGAUGGUGAUGUUUAGAUACCCACAAGAGCAAAGAACAAUAUGGAUGAAGGAACAAACCUGAAGACUUCCCAUCUCCCAUCUGUUUCCAUAUCACAGUCUCCUGGCUGGUACCUUCUUACCGAUGCUCCUGUUGAACAUAAGAGACAGAGACAGAAAGAGAAAGACAGAGAGACAGAGACAGAGAGGCACAGACAGAGACAGAGAGAGAAUCAAAUAGACUGGGCUGCUUUAAAUAUUGCUGUCUGUAAUAAACAUGUAGACUGACUUGAUCAAUUAA